AGAAGUCCGCAAGGAUGAGUAAAGUGGCGUACGGGUGAGUAACACGUGGGUAAUCUGCCCUCUAGUGGGGAAUACCGCUGGGAAACCGGCGACAAUACCGCAUAAGCUCGAGAGAGGAAAGCAGCAAUGCGCUGGAGGAGGAGUCCGCGGCUGAUUAGCUAGUUGGUGAGGUAACGGCUCACCAAGGCUCAGAUCAGUAGCCGGCCUGAGAGGGCACACGGCCACACUGGCACUGAAACACGGGCCAGACUCCUACGGGAGGCAGCAGUGGGGAAUCUUGCACAAUGGGGGAAACCCUGAUGCAGCGACGCCGCGUGAGCGAUGAAGCCCUUCGGGGUGUAAAGCUCUUUCGGCAGGGAAGAUGAUGACGGUACCUGCAGAAGCAGCUGCGGCUAACUACGUGCCAGCAGCCGCGGUAAUACGUAGGCAGCAAGCGUUGUUCGGAGUUACUGGGCGUAAAGGGUGUGUAGGCGGUUGGAUAAGUGUGGUGUGAAAUCUCCCGGCUUAACUGGGAGGGUGCGCUACAAACUGUCUGACUAGAGUGUGGGAUGGGAGAGUGGAAUUCCUGGUGUAGCGGUGAAAUGCGUAGAUAUCAGGAGGAACACCGGUGGUGUAGACGGCUCUCUGGACCAUAACUGACGCUGAGACACGAAAGCGUGGGUAGCAAACAGGAUUAGAUACCCUGGUAGUCCGCGCCCUAAACGAUGCAUAUUUGGUGUGGGUCAUUCAUUUGAUCUGUGCC
rnacentral:rRNA from 1 species